GUUGAACGCUGGCGGCGUGCCUAAUACAUGCAAGUCGAGCGAAUAGAUGAGGAGCUUGCUCCUCUUACGUUAGCGGCGGACGGGUGAGUCACACGUGGCUACCCUACCUAUAGGACUGGGAUACCUUAGGGAACCCUGAGCUAAUACACGAUAAUAUAUUGAACGGCAUGGUUCUAUAGUGAAAGCGCGUUUUGCUGUCACUUAUUGAUAGUACCGCGCCGCAUUAGCUAGUUGGUACGGUAACGGCUUACCAAGGCAACGAUGCGUAGCCGACCUGAGAGGAUGAUCAGCCACACUGGAACUGAGACACGGUCCAGACUCCUACGGGAGGCAGCAGUAGGGAAUCUUCGACAAUGGGCGAAAGCCUGAUGGAGCAACGCCGCGUGAGUGAAGAAGGUCUUCGGAUUGUAAAGCUCUGUAAGUUGGGAGGAACAAAUGUGAAAUAAACCAUGCACGUUUUGACGUUACCAAAACAGAAAGCCACGGCUAACUUCGUG
rnacentral:rRNA from 1 species